rnacentral:rRNA from 1 species
GACAGAGGGUGCAACGUUGUUCGGAUUACUGGGCGUAAAGCGCGCGCAGGCGGUCCUUUAAGUCUGAUGUGAAAGCCCACGCGUCAACCGUGGAGGGCAUUGGAAACUGGGGGACUUAGUACAGAAGGAGAAGAGUGGAAUUCCACGUGUAAGCGGUGAAAUGCGUAGAGAUCAUGAGGAAGACCAGUGGCGAAGGCGGGUCUCUGGACAGUUCCUGACACUGAGACACGAAG